rnacentral:rRNA from 1 species
UACGUAGGGGGCAAGCGUUGUCCGGAAUCAUUGGGCGUAAAGCGCGUGUAGGCGGCCCGGUAAGUCCGCUGUGAAAGUCGGGGGCUCAACCCUCGAAUGCCGGUGGAUACUGUCGGGCUAGAGUGCGGAAGAGGCGAGUGGAAUUCCCGGUGUAGCGGUGAAAUGCGCAGAGUAUCGGGAGGAACACCGGUGGCGAAGGCGGGUCUCUGGGCCGAUAUUGACGCUGAGGAGCGAAAGCGUGGGGAGCGAACAGG